AGAGUUUGAUCCUGGCUCAGGAUGAACGCUAGCGGCAGGCUUAAUACAUGCAAGUCGAGGGGCAGCAGGGGUGUAGCAAUACAUCUGCUGGCGACCGGCAAACGGGUGCGGAACACGUACGCAACUUACCCAUAACUGGGGGAUAGCCCGGGGAAACCCGGAUUAAUACCUCGUAAGAUAAUGGAGUGGCAUCACUUUAUUAUUAUAGCUCCGGCGGUUAUGGAUGGGCGUGCGGCUGAUUAGGUAGUUGGUGCGGGUAACGGCCCACCAAGCCAUCGAUCAGUAACUGGUGUGAGAGCACGACCAGUCACACGGGCACUGAGACACGGGCCCGACUCCUACGGGAGGCAGCAGUAAGGAAUAUUGGUCAAUGGACGCAAGUCUGAACCAGCCAUGCCGCGUGAAGGAUGAAGGUCCUCUGGAUUGUAAACUUCUUUUAUAUGGGACGAAACCCGGGAAUUCCUUCCCGAUUGACGGUACCAUAGGAAUAAGCACCGGCUAACUCCGUGCCAGCAGCCGCGGUAAUACGGAGGGUGCAAGCGUUAUCCGGAUUCACUGGGUUUAAAGGGUGCGUAGGAGGGCAGGUAAGUCAGUGGUGAAAUCCCAGAGCUUAACUCUGGAACUGCCGUUGAUACUAUCUGUCUUGAAUACCGUGGAGGUGAGCGGAAUAUGUCAUGUAGCGGUGAAAUGCUUAGAUAUGACAUAGAACACCAAUUGCGAAGGCAGCUCACUACACGAAUAUUGACUCUGAGGCACGAAAGCGUGGGGAUCAAACAGGAUUAGAUACCCUGGUAGUCC
rnacentral:rRNA from 1 species